AUUGAACGCUGGCGGCAUGCUUUACACAUGCAAGUCGAACGGUAACAGGCCGCAAGGUGCUGACGAGUGGCGAACGGGUGCGUAAUGCAUCGGAACGUGCCCAGUCGUGGGGGAUAACUACUCGAAAGAUUAGCUAAUACCGCAUACGAUCUUUGGAUGAAAGCGGGGGACCGUAAGGCCUCGCGCGAUUGGAGCUGCCGAUGUCAGAUUAGGUAGUUGGUGGGGUAAAGGCUCACCAAGCCAACGAUCUGUAGCUGGUCUGAGAGGAUGACCAGCCACACUGGGACUGAGACACGGCACAGACUCCUACGGGCGGCAGAAGUGGGGAAGUUUGGAAGAUGGGCGCAAGACUGAUCCAGCAAUGCAGCGUGCAGGAAGAAGGGCUUCGGGUUGUAAAAUGCUUUUGUACGGAAAGAAACGGCUCUGGUUAAUACCCGGGGCUAAUGACGGUACCGUAAGAAUAAGCACCGGCUAACUACGUG
rnacentral:rRNA from 1 species